GGAUUGUGGCUCAGCGGUAGACUGCUCGCCUAGCACGGGCGGGACCCGUGUUCAAUCCUCAGCACCA
rnacentral:tRNA from 1 species